rnacentral:rRNA from 1 species
UACGUAGGGUGCGAGCGUUGUCCGGAAUUAUUGGGCGUAAAGAGCUUGUAGGCGGUUUGUCGCGUCUGCUGUGAAAAUCCGGGGCUCAACCCCGGACUUGCAGUGGGUACGGGCAGGCUAGAGUGUGGUAGGGGAGACUGGAAUUCCUGGUGUAGCGGUGGAAUGCGCAGAUAUCAGGAAGAACACCCGUGGCGAAAGCGGCUCUCUGGAACGGUACUGACGCUGAGACGCGAAAGCGUGGGGAGCGAACAGG